rnacentral:tRNA from 2 species
UGGGGUAUCGCCAAGCGGUAAGGCACCGGUUUUUGAUACCGGCAUUCCCUGGUUCGAGUCCAGGUACCCCAGCCA